CGCGCCGUGGCUUAGUGGUUAGCGCUGUUCUCGCGCCCUAAGGGUUGCGGGUUCGAAUCCCGCCUGUGCGC